UACGAAGGGCGCUAGCGUUGCUCGGAAUCACUGGGCGUAAAGGGUGCGUAGGCGGGUCUUUAAGUCAGGGGUGAAAUCCUGGAGCUCAACUCCAGAACUGCCUUUGAUACUGAAGAUCUUGAGUUCGGUAGAGGUGAGUGGAACUGCGAGUGUAGAGGUGAAAUUCGUAGAUAUUCGCAAGAACACCAGUGGCGAAGGCGGCUCACUGGCCCGAUACUGACGCUGAGGCACGAAAGCGUGGGGAGCAAACAGG
rnacentral:rRNA from 1 species